GACGGAGGAUGCAAGUGUUAUCCGGAAUCACUGGGCGUAAAGCGUCUGUAGGUGGUUUAAUAUGUCAACUGUUAAAUCUUGAGGCUCAACUUCAAAAUCGCAGUCGAAACUAUUAGACUAGAGUAUAGUAGGGGUAAAGGGAAUUUCCAGUGGAGCGGUGAAAUGCGUAGAGAUUGGAAAGAACACCAAUGGCGAAAGCACUUUACUGGGCUAUCACUGACACUGAGAGACGAAAGCUAGGGUAGCAAAUGGG
rnacentral:rRNA from 1 species